GUGGGGAAUAUUGGACAAUGGGCGCAAGCCUGAUCCAGCCAUGCCGCGUGAGUGAUGAAGGCCUUAGGGUUGUAAAGCUCUUUCAGUGGGGACGAUAAUGACUGUACCCACAGAAGAAGCCCCGGCUAACUCCGUGCCAGCAGCCGCGGUAAUACGGAGGGGGCUAGCGUUGUUCGGAAUUACUGGGCGUAAAGCGCACGUAGGCGGACUGGAAAGUCAGGGGUGAAAUCCCGGGGCUCAACCCCGGAACUGCCUUUGAAACUCCCAGUCUUGAGGUCGAGAGAGGUGAGUGGAAUUCCGAGUGUAGAGGUGAAAUUCGUAGAUAUUCGGAGGAACACCAGUGGCGAAGGCGGCUCACUGGCUCGAUACUGACGCUGAGGUGCGAAAGCGUGGGGAGCAAACAGGAUUAGAAACCCCGGUAGUCC
rnacentral:rRNA from 1 species